rnacentral:lncRNA from 1 species
AGCUUAAGAUGCCUUGGGAGGCUUGCGGGAGGAGGUCCGACUGUGCUCAAAGCUGCCUGCGGGGGAUGCCAAGAAGCCAACCGAGGCCAAGCCGGUCCAGGAGGGCUCCUGGUCCCACCCAGGUGCUCCGUCCGGAUGGAACAAAGCCUGCAGAAUGGAGUCAUCAGAGGCUGGCUCAGUUCUGUGAGUUUUCACAUUGAACAAAGGGCGGAUGGGAGAUAAGGAAGGACAUGCUGGCUGGCACAUUAUUUUCUGGACUGCAUUUCAAGAGUUUUUCUAAAAUAUGUUAUAACUGAGAAUCUUAACUGCCAGAGAGAGGGCCAAAGAAGGGCUAUGCAACUGUCCUUAUCUCUCUGGGCAGCCCUAGGGAGCAGACCUGGGGUAGAAAUGACACGUGGACAGAACUAGAGGUUUCGUGAAGGGCUUUUUUAAUGAAAUCUGUUUACUGGAGAGGGGAUGAUGCACCUGCCUCUUUCUCCAUGUUCAUCUCAUCUUUUCUUUUGUUGCUGUUGUUUUAAGAUUUUCUGGCCUCUCUGUGGCAUAUGGAGUUCCUGGGCCAGGGAUCAGAUCUGAGCCACAGUGCAGUUUCGACCUACACCACAGCUGUGGCAACACUGGAUCCUUAACCCACUGGGCCAGGCCAGGGAUCGAACCCGCGUCCCAGCGUUCCAGAGACACUGCUGAUCCCAUUUCACCACAGCAGGAAUGCCUCGUUUAUCCCCAUCUCCGUCAUCCUUUCAAGUCAUCUGUCUCCCCUUCUGCCUUCUCUGACUAACCUUUACUUGUUCUUCAACUUCUUUGACCUUUAAAUUAAGGCAAGCAUCUCCAUCCCAUUAAUACGCACGCACGAAACCUACACUUGUCAUUGCAUGACUGGGGCAAAAAUACAUUGACAGCUGACAGCCCUCUGCCUCUGAGGUGGCAAGUCCUCUGCCUAGGACUCGUGAUCAGCUUCAGGUAGAAGGAGAGGACCUCGGGCUAUCGGCAGGAGCUUAAAGAACAGAAAGAAAAGAAGAAAACUGCUCUGUACGAGAGGAGAGAAAUUGGCAUUCUCUAAGAGGGAGUCAUCCAGACGCUGUGAGGCUGGGAUCAACUCUGAAUAAGGCGCGGGGAAACAGAUAGAGAGAAGGGGCUUCUUUGUGAUUCCAGAAGUCUUUUUUUCAAGAGGAAAGCAGCACAAAGACUCGGAGCAGCAACAGCAGCAGAGCACCGCGUGGAAGCCUGGCCCGGAGAAGUGAUACCACAGAGGGAACAGGCCACGGAGACAGAUCUCAUUAAUGCUCACGGCCUUUGUGCAGCUCAUUAGCGGCGCAGCACACUCAAUAUUUACCCUUGUGCGCCUACCAAGUUCCACUUUCUCCUUGAGAAGCAAGCUGUUUCUCUACCUGAGUCAUGGCAAGGGGAACCUCCACUGCCAGACAACAGCUUCAUCUCUGCCUGUGUGGACUGGCUGGGGCAAAGUCGGGCCCCCAGUGGCCUCGCCCAGGAGGGUGCCAUUUUCAUGAUUCAACCCGGCAGCUGUCGGCCCUAAGUCCCCCUCCAGAACUGACAAUGUGUCUUGCCAUCCUCUCCUUCCUCUGGAAGGAUCCAUUCUCUGAGCUCCGGGCAGGCUCCUCCUUCCCUUAGGAUCUGGGAAAAGGGGUGAACCCCGAGAAAGGGCCUUCUCCUCCGGGCCUGUCUGAGCAGAGGUCUCCUGGUGACCUGCCCACCAUUCAGUCCACAAGCUUUAGCAGCCUCUGGAGCUGAGCCACCACACACUGUGCAGAGAGCUGGGAACACAAUGGCGAAAGGGCAGGGCUCUGCCCCCAAAGCUCCUAUGAAUGGUGAACUUGCAACUAUCACCUUGCAAGGGGAGAGCGCAGGGCAAGAGAUGCGUGUCAGGGAAGGACCGCUCCGGCCAGAGCAGGGGAGUCAGGAAGAGCGUUAAGGAGGAGGAAUCAUGGAACCGUCACCUGGAGCCCUGAGCCCAGAGCAGUGGCCAGCGGCGAAGUCGGCUCCCCUAGGGGCCCCUCCCCUUCCUCUGAAGCCACAGGCUUGGAAUCUGAGGAAGGGUCGCAGCUCUGGCCCUGGCCCUGGCCCUGCCGAAGUGAUGUAGAUAGAGAGGCUGCCUCAGAGAUGGAAUGUUCUGGAGAUGAGCAGGCUGGUCACUGAUCUGUCAGGAACUGGGCUUGUUCCCCGGCCCUGCCUCAGGUCACCUCCACACUCAUCAGGGCUCUGAGGGCCUCCCUAGCUCCUCAGUCACGGUGAACGCCAAGCACACAGAGGACCACAGGCCAGUGGGCUCUCCUCAUACCUGGAGACCUGCGGUGACCAAAUGUGCUGUCCCCCAAAAUUAACAUGUCGAAGCUUAACCCCGCCCCCCGAAGUGAGGCCUUUGGGAGGUGGUUAGUGUGGUCCAUACACACAGGUUGGAAAAAGAAUUUUCCAGAUGUAGAGGGGUGAAAAGAAAGAAGAGUGUAUUGAGCUAAGAGACGCUGCUAGCAGAGGGCCAACCGGAGCUCGUGUCAUGUCUGCUUUUAUGGCCCAAGGAGAGGAGAGGUCUUAGGAUACACCUGCUCACCUCUAAUUGAUUGGGGAAAGAAGGGUCUUACAAUACACUUGCUGGUUGGUUGGGAGCUUAUCAGGCAUCUGUAGGGGCGGGGUGAGGAGUGGGCCACCGACCUUUCCCAGUAGGGACAGGAAGGAGCAGGCCAAGUUGCUCAAGGUGGGGGAGGGGCAU